rnacentral:lncRNA from 1 species
UUCUCCUGAAGAGCUUCUGUUUCAGGUUCUUCCUCUUCAAUUGCUGGUUUUUCAUCUUUCUUUUCAACAACUAGUUCUUCAGAUGUGUCUUCAACUGUUGGUUCUUCAGGUUUCUCUUCAAGAGCUAGUUCUUCAGGUGUUUCCUCCCCUGCAAGCUCUUCAGGUGUUUCUAUAGUCGCCGGUUCUUCAGGUUUCUCUGUAAUCUCUAGUUCAGGUUUCUCCUCAACUGGUACUUCAGAUUUCUCCUCAAAUGUUGGUUCUUCAGGUUUCUCCUUAAUAGCUGGUACACCAGGUUUCUCUUCAAUGAGUGGUUCUUCAGUUUUUUCUUCAACUGCCGAUUCUUCAGGAUUUUCCUCACUGUCUGGAGAGUGUGCAACAUCAUUAUUGGUAUUGCAUGGGAUUUCACUGCCAGUUUUUUCGUUCGAGUCUACAAUUAGCAUAUUCUGCAAAAAGAAUUUAAUGUUUCACUUAGCCUUUCAAUAAAGAUGCAGAUGUGAAUCAUAGUACAUACAUAACUAACAAAAUGGAUAAACUUUGUGA